rnacentral:sRNA from 1 species
UCAAAAUAUUCCCCACAUUUUAUAUAUAUCACAAACCUACCAUAAAAAAAAUCAAUAUACACUCACUGAGACACUGAAAUAAAUAUUCAAAGGUGAUAAAGAAUAGAAAAAAUGUUAUUUAAUACCUGAACUUUUAAAAAGUGGCCAAAUUAACCAUGAAUUUUUGAAAUGGCCGUUUUAUACCUCAACAAAAAGUUGACUUCUAAUUUAACCUAUAAGUUAUCGUUGACACGGCCAAAUCGACUCACCAUUAACACUUCUUAACAGCUCUCCUAACAGCGUAACUAACAACUGUUUUUGUCCUUAAACCAACGAUAACGGCUGUUAGGCCAUGUUUUGUAACGGCUGUUAGGAGCGCUGUUAAGGAGUGUUAACGGUGAGUCUAUUUGGCUGGGUCAACGAUAAAUUAUAUGUUAAAUUAGAAGUCAACAAUAAAUUAUAGGUUAAAUUAGAAAUCAACUUUUUUUUGAGGUAUAAAACGACCAUUUCAAAAGUUCACGGUUAAUUUGGCCAUUUUUUGAAAGUUUAGGUAUUAAAUAACAUUUUUUCCGAUAAGCAUAGUUAUGUAUUUUUUAAGCUAAAAAAUAAAGACA